GCCAGAUAUAUCAUUGAGAAGAUAAGCUUCUUUGGUGAUCCAAACACCAUCUUUCUUCAUCUUCUUCUUAACACUAUACGAUACAUUUUUGAAUUCAAGGCCAUGGCCUGGAAUCAUCUUCCUGGGCUCAAGUGGCACAGCAUUUUUCUUUGCAGCCACUGUUUUGUCUAUGUCAAGUAAAGUCUCAAGAUUUCUAUUGGUGUUAGUCCUAUUGACCUUUGGCGCCAUUGUGAUUCAAGAAAUGGAAGUGAUUCAAGAAAUGGAAGCAAAGCAACCUUUGGCCUGAUGAUUUUGUGGCUGAGGCAAAGAUGGGUUGCAGUGUCGUAUUAAAAGGUGAAAGAAAUAACUUGUGGGAUGUAGACAAAAUGUUUGAUGGUUAACCUCAAUGAAAGA
rnacentral:misc_RNA from 1 species